GAAAUGAGGCAUUUUCUCAAUUGUAUAAAACUUGAUAAUCAAGUAACUGAAACUACUGUAUAAAACUUAAUAAUCAAGUAACUGAAAUUUGCAAUGGAGUCCCUAUCAACCUUUACAAAUAGUCUCUAGUUUCUUCAUUCCUCACACUAGCUUCUCUGUUUUCCCCUGUUUUUGCUCUGUUUCUGGUACAUACCUCAAUUUCAUAGAAAUGGAAAUGAUGUGCGCUUCAAAACACCAGAAUCAAAGGCCUGCCCCAAAGAGAGGCCAGAUGAAGAAGAAGAUAAUAAGUCUAAUAUUCAAAUCCACUCUUGCAGUUGUGCCGGUCCGGUGCGAAGAAAAGGAAGGCCUCUUAGCUCAAUUUCUUCAACCCCACAUGAAGCUCCAACUGGGUAUAGAACAAGAGUCUCAGAUGGCCAUUUUCUCAUUAAUUAAUGUUUUUUAAUUUAAUUUUGGGAAACGUGUUGUUUCCAUUCCAAUCACAACUUGUGGAUAUCAUUCGUAUUCGAUUGAUAUGAAUAUUAAUUGUAUUUGAUUAGAAGGUAUCCAUAAAUAAACGAGUAUAAAUAGUGUAUAUAUAUAUAUAUCCAUCGAAUACCAUAUACGAAUAUAGAUAACGAACUUUUUUUUAUCCGGUUACAACACUAAUGAAACCAUCUGUUCAGGGGCGAAGCCAUGAGUAGGCUUUUGGGGCUGUAGCCUGGCCAAUUUUAUUUUUUUUACUAAAUAAACUAUAUAGGAGCAAUGUGCUCUGCCAUAUAUUGCACAAAAAAUAAAAAAAUAAAAAAAUAAAAUAAAUUAAACCAUUCUCUCUCACACGCAAAGAUACGUGAAUAUAUACGCGAGUGAAUAUAUACGCGAGCAGGGGCGAAACUAGGUAUUGUAAUGUGGGGUCAAUUGACCCCAUUAAUUUUUUAUAUAUAUAUGAUGUAAUAAUUUUUUUGUAAAUGUAAUUUAAUAAUUUAACUCACUAAAAUUUUUAAUUUAUAUAUAUAUAUAUAUAUAUAUAUAUAAUGUAAUAGAUUUUUGUGAGUAGAAUUUAGUAAUUUGACCCACUUCUGACUUCGCCACUGUACACGCGCACACAUAAUAUUGCAAGGCUCCACAAAAGGAAGAUUCCUGGCGCAUAAUAACAUCCGAGGCACAAAUUUACCACAUUAAUUUCCUCUCAACAAACCACAAAGUCGCAUAUGAAACCUCUCAACCACAUUAAUUUCCUCCCACUUUUUUUUUUUCCCUAUGGAUUCUCCGAAUUCCCUAUAAAACUAAAGGCUUAAAUUUUCAAAAAUAAGUUGCAACCUUAUAAAUUUAUAUAAGACAUUACUACAAGCAAGCUAGCUAGCUAGAACAAAAAUGUUUACGGAGAGUUGUAAUGGUAGUGGCUUUUAUCCUACCUACUCUUACCCUUGUGCUGGUUGCAGCGCAAGCAUCUACAGUUCCAACCUAGAGGCAUUGUCCCAGAAUCACGUAUCCAUGUGUACUGCAUGUCUGCAUGGCGCAGCAGCAGCUUUCCAAUAUGAAGCUCAAGCAGCUUCUCUUUCC
rnacentral:lncRNA from 1 species